UACAGAGGAUGCAAGCGUUAUCCGGAAUGAUUGGGCGUAAAGCGUCUGUAGGUGGCUUUUUAAGUCCGCCGUCAAAUCCCAGGGCUCAACUCUGGACAGGCGGUGGAAACUACCAAGCUGGAGUACGGUAGGGGCAGAGGGAAUUUCCGGUGGAGCGGUGAAAUGCGUAGAGAUCGGAAAGAACACCGGUGGCGAAGGCGGCGAUCUGGGUCGAUACUGACGCUGAGGUGCGAAAGCGUGGGGAGCAAACAGG
rnacentral:rRNA from 1 species